GGGGAGUACGUUCGCAAGAAUAAACUCAAAGGAAUUGGCGAGGACCCGCACAAGCGAUGGAGCAUGUUGUUUAAUUCGAUGCAAAGCGAAGCACCUUACCAGGGCUUGACAUGACGUGAAUCCUCUUGAAAGAGAGAGGUGCCUUCGGGAAUGAGGACAAAGGGUCGCAAUCCCGCGAGGGUGAGCUAACCCCAAAAACCUGUCCUCAGUUUAGAUUGCAGGCUGCAACUCACCUGCAUGAAGCCGGAAUCACUAGUAAUCGUCGGUCAUCCAUACGACGUUGAAUUCAUUCCACAGCCUUGUACACACCGCCCGGCACACUAUGGGAGCUGGCCAUGCCCGAAGUCGUUACCUUAACCGCAACGAGGGGGAUGUCGAAGGCAGGGCUAGUGACUCGAGCGAAGUCGUAACAAGGUAAUGUACUGGAAGGUGUGGCUG
rnacentral:rRNA from 1 species